rnacentral:rRNA from 1 species
CCCGCUGAACUUAAGCAUAUCAAUAAGCGGAGGAAAAGAAACUAACAAGGAUUCCCCUAGUAACGGCGAGUGAAGCGGGAAGAGCUCAAGCUUAAAAUCUCCGUGCAAGUUUUGCGCGGCGAAUUGUAGUCUAUAGAGGCGUGGUCAGCGUGGGCGCUUGGGGCAAGUUCCUUGGAAGAGGACAGCAUGGAGGGUGAUACUCCCGUUCAUCCCUGAGUGGCUCGUGCGUACGACCCGUGUUCUUUGAGUCGCGUUGUUUGGGAAUGCAGCGCAAAGUAGGUGGUAAAUUCCAUCUAAAGCUAAAUAUUGGUGCGAGACCGAUAGCGAACAAGUACCGUGAGGGAAAGAUGAAAAGAACUUUGAAAAGAGAGUUAAAGAGUACCUGAAACUGCUGAAAGGGAACCGAAUCGUUUCCAGUGUCUAUAAUCCGUGGCAUAUUUCAUUGGCGAGUGUGCGCGUGCGUGURCUGUGGCAGCGGCCUUUUUGGGCUGCGCUCGGUGCGUGUGCUGUGUGUGCUUGCUGGUGCCCUGUGCUGCGGUGGGACGUCAAGGUCAGUUCGUAUGCUGCGGGAAAUGGCUGCCGAGGAGGUAGGGCUUACGCUCCGCGUUUGUCUGUUAUAUCUUGGUGGACGAGUCGUCGCGGUUGGGACUGAGGUGCCUACAACGUGCUUUUGAGUGGGUCUGUGUCUCCGUGUGCGCCGUGUGCGGAUAGCUUGCUAUGCGUGUGUGGUUGUGUGUGGAUUGAUGCGGGCCUUAACUUGUCGCCGUUCGGGACGUUGACGAAAUGGAGCGAUCCGACCCGUCUUGAAACACGGACCAAGGAGUCUAACAUGUGUGCAAGUGUUAGGGUGUGGAAACCCCAGCGCGAAAUGAAAGUGAAGGGCAGCGCAAGUUGUCUGAGGUAGGAAACGUUGCGGGCUUCGGUCUGCGGCGUGGCACUAUCGACCGAUCAUGAACCUUCGUGGUGAAAGAUUUGAGUUUGAGCACAUAUGUUGGUACCCGAAAGAUGGUGAACUAUGCCUGAGUAGGGUGAAGCCAGGGGAAACUCUGGUGGAAGCUCGUAGCGAUUCUGACGUGCAAAUCGAUCGUCAAACUUGGGUAUAGGGGCGAAAGACUAAUCGAACCAUCUAGUAGCUGGUUCCCUCCGAAAUUUCCCUCAGGAUAGCAGCAACUUAUUUACGAUAGUUUUAUGAGGUAAAGCGAAUGAUUAGAGGAUUCGGGGAAGAAACUUCCUCGACCUAUUCUCAAACUUUAAAUCUGUAAGACCUGCAGGUUUCUUAAUUGAACUUGUGGAUGUGAAUAUCAAGUUGCUAGUGGGCCAUACGGGGUAAGCUCGUCUGGCG